GACGAACGCUGGCGGCGGGCUUAACACAUGCAAGUCGAACGGAAAGGCCCUGCUUUUGUGGGGUGCUCGAGUGGCGAACGGGUGAGUAACACGUGAGUAACCUGCCCUUGACUUUGGGAUAACUUCAGGAAACUGGGGCUAAUACCGGAUAGGAGCUCCUGCUGCAUGGUGGGGGUUGGAAAGUUUCGGCGGUUGGGGAUGGACUCGCGGCUUAUCAGCUUGUUGGUGGGGGAGUGGCUUACCAAGGCUUUGACGGGUAGCCGGCCUGAGAGGGUGACCGGCCACAUUGGGACUGAGAUACGGCGCAGACUCCUACGGGAGGCAGCAGUGGGGAAUAUUGCACAAUGGGCGGAAGCCUGAUGCAGCAACGCCGCGUGCGGGAUGACGGCCUUCGGGUUGUAAACCGCUUUCGCCUGUGACGAAGCGUGAGUGACGGUAAUGGGUAAAGAAGCACCGGCUAACUACGUG
rnacentral:rRNA from 1 species